AUUUGAGGCUGCCUAGCCGGUGCCGGUAUUACAGUAAUACUGGCAAUACAAAUGUCUAUCUCAAUAUAAACAGAGAUUAUUCUGCAAUACCAGCGCCAGCCAGUAGGGGUCGCUGUUUGUGUGGAGAGAGGCAGGGAUAAGAAGUUACAGCAUUUGGACAACUUUAUAUUCUUUAUCUAUUUCUGCAUAUAUCAUCUAUUUUCUGAGUAGGUAGAGGUAUAGCAAGUUGGCUUUGGG